CUCGUCAUCCAGGACUGUCCUGGCCUUAACAGUGAAAGUCUAUGUCCGGAACAAAAAGAGACAGUUGGUCACCCUUAGUAUGACAAUGCCCUGCUGCGCUGAAGAGCCCCUCAGCUGAUAAAGCCAGUGUUUCCUAUGGGUUUCUGUGGUAUUUGGGUACUUCUAUUAAUUUUUGGAGCUGUGUACCGAUGAUAAGGACUUGUCGUAGGUCCCAGGUGUCCCAAACAAUGGGACCAUGGAGAAAUGAGAGCCGGGGUCCAUCCUGAGUGAAUACCUCCAUGUCUACAGAGAAGAAAGGAGUUCCCCAGGCCCUGACCAGGUGCUAAAGUGGCCACCAGAUCAUGACAACUUCAUGGGGCCCCCACAGAUUUGUUGAUCCAUGUGACAUUAUGGAAGUCAUCUCUCCAGGGACGUUUUGCACUGAUGAAUGAAUGUGGUUCCGUUCCCAAUGACAACAGCUUCUGCCAAUGCUGCUCUGAACCGCUCAUGUUCCAUUUACCAUGUCACGGCCAAAUUGUGUGCAGCCACAACCAUGGUUGCUUUAUAAAGAGAAAGUUGUGGAUGUAACGGUGCAGGUCGUUCCUUCUGAGGAGGCACUGACCUUGUUCACACAUGUGUGACCAUUACCUAAAAGAUGGCCAUACUGGCCGCCGUGGCCUUGUUGGGUUCCAACCCACCCAAAUCUGGCCCCCAGAACUUCCAACACAUGCCCCAGCUCUGGCGGGCAAUGCAUAAAGUGGCUAUCCAGGUCAUCAGCUUUUGAACCCAAACCCAACAGAUGACUCCAGUAGAGUUUCAGCCACAGGGACAAAGGUGACAAAGGCCACCAUGCCUGGAGGCAUCAGUACCUGCCUCCCGAUGAGCUUCCUACACAAGAAGCAGACUCCUUAGAGAGCACUGUUCAACUUUCAUGUAGGAUUGCCAGCAAAGACGGUGGCCAGAUCCAGAGCCCAAGACUGCUUAAUUAAUUAAUUAAUUAAUUAAUUAAUUAAUUACUGUGUGGUCUUGAGCAGACUACUGUUGUCCUUCACCUGUCAGAAGUCCACCAGGUGACUUCUUGAGGACUCCGAGAGAACGUGGGAUUCCCAGCACCCAAGUCUGUGGCCUGGAGAACCUUGUCCCUGGAUACCUCUGGAUCCUUUUUGAUAAGGAGUAAGGAAAGCAUCGGACCUGAAAUGCAUUCACACACCCUGUGUCAAUGUGCUCCCAGCAAGCACUUUAGUGGAGGAGAGAGUGCCCGGUAGGGGAUGGGAGUUUGGGGCUCCUGUCCCUCAGCGUGAGCUCUGGGAUCCAUACCACAUCUCCUGUGUGAGACUUGAAUCAUAUUACUCUUCCCUGAGUAAUAUUCCCCGAGUACACAUUUCCUAAUUGGAGGAAGAGUUGAGACUUUCACUGGAAAUGGGUCAAUAGGUAUAGGCGCUGCCUUGUAAGGGGGUGGAGUGAGGAGUUCCUCUAUACCUGAGGAAUGGUCUUUCCUGGGAUGGGGAGGAAUCUCUGGACUUCAGCACUGAGGAGCCAAUCGACAGGCAGUGGCCUUUCUAGAUGGGUGAAAGGAAAUCCCCUUGGCCAUCCAUAGUCUCCACAAGGCUAGAGAAGACUCUCCCCAUGUUUGGUGGAGUUCCAGUCUCCAGGCUGGAUGUCUCAGCUAGUCUUCAGUAGAAGCUGGAAUCCCAAUGAAAGAGACUGUAAUGCCAGUAAAGAAAUGGACUUGCUAGCAAGGCGAGAGCAAGCAGGCAGAGAACAGAAGCUUCCUUCCUCCAUGUGAAGGCUCUGUGAGUUAGACUGAGGAAAGAGAGACUAGCAAGAGAAAGCAUGCACGAGAGGAUGGGCACCUCACCCUACACUUGGGAGCACUCAGGACACAACACAAACAGCAGAAAGGACAGCCUCUGGACAGUGCAAGCCUGAUUUAGACAACUGCCAAGCAGCAACAGGAGAGAAUGGAGGACUGCAGACUGGCAGCAGUAGCAGCAGCAGCCAGCUUUGGAGACAAACUCAUUGUGCCGCUGAUACAGGAAAGCCUUGAACAAAGUUUUCUCAAGAUUGAAGUCUGCAUAAGCACUGAGUGAAUUCUGUCAGAGGUGACCUAGAGGAAUAGUCCUCACACAUAAUGAGUACGUAAGAGGUGAGAUGAAUUUAAACAUUAUGGAUUGGUGUCUGGAAAAGUGGUCUGGUUGGUAAGAAGCUCUCCAUGAAGUCCCCUGCUUGAUCUCCAGAACCCGAAUACAAGUUGGGUACAUAUGUCUCAAAAAGCAAGGUGGAGAGCAACUGAGGAAGAUAUCCAACAACUGCUGCCCCCCCAUGCACACACACACACACACACACACACACUCUCUCUCUCUCUCUCUCUCUCUCUCUCUCUCUCUCUCACACACACUCAUUCACACACACUCUCUCACACGCACUCACUCACACACACUCAUUCACACGCACUCACUCUCACAUACUCUCACACACACUCAACAACACUCUCUCACACGCACUCACUCACACACACUCAUUCACACACUCACACUCUCACACACUCUCACACACACUCACUCAACACACACACUCACACUCACACACUCACACACUCACAUACGGGGGCUGGGUCAUAGAUGUUUCCUUGACACGCUAAUGGCCUCUUCUUUUCCCACAAGAUUUCUGGUUACGGUAUAUUCACAGGAAGAGACCAGACCUUGGGCAUGGGGCUCCUGACCAAGAAAGAGGCUGUGGACCUGUGAUGGCUAGUCUCUGUUGUCAACUGGACUACAUCUGGAAUGAACUAAAACCCACAGCUGGAUACACCAGCAAGGGAUCUUUUUCUUAAUUACAUCACUUCCCUUAGGAGACUGAAGGAGGACUGUCAUGAUUUCAAGGCCAGCCUGGGCUACUUACUGAGUUCAAGGUCAGCCUGGGCUACAUGUGUAAGACCCAGUACCAAAAAGCAACAAGAAACUCC
ensembl:lncRNA